rnacentral:lncRNA from 1 species
ACAGAUGCUUAUCACAGGGUUCGGUGCUUCCUGAAAUCGAUUUCUUCUGCUUCUGCCUUUUCUUAGCAGGGAUCCUCGCCCGGCGGGGGUGCGGUGCCUCUGAGGACUGUGCUGGUUGGGAGGUCCGAGAGCGCGAUGCAUCUGCAUGGGAAAUGAAAUUCAAAGCAAAAUCAAGGACAGCUUGACUGGAACAAGAUGGGGGUAAUUGCUUCCGAUCUAGACGACUUUCACGGCACAGUCUCUUUGGUGUCUGAUGUUUUAGAUUCCUGCCAUGGCGGGUAAGUAUUGGGGCAGAAUAUCCUACGCUCCUGG